rnacentral:tRNA from 1 species
GGCAAGGUGGCCGAGCGGUCCAAGGCGCCAGGUUCAGGCAAACCUGAGCUCGACUCUCCCGAGUCUUCCUGGUCUCAGAAAUGGGGCGUGAGUUCGAAUCUCACCCUUGUCA